rnacentral:rRNA from 1 species
GACGAACGCUGGCGGCGUGCUUAAAACAUGCAAGUCGAACGGACUUCUCAUGAAGCUUGCGAUUGAGAAGUUAGUGGCGGACGGGUGAGUAACGCGUGGGCAACCUGCCCCUGAGCCCGGGAUAACAGUUCGAAAGGACUGCUAAGACCGGAUAUACUUGCGGUGAAGCAUUUCACUGCAAGGAAAGGGAACGCUCAGGGAUGGGCCCGCGUCCCAUUAGCUAGUUGGUGAGGUAACGGCCCACCAAGGCGACGAUGGGUAGCCGGCCUGAGAGGGUGAACGGCCACACUGGGACUGAGACACGGCCCAGACUCCUACGGGAGGCAGCAGUUGGGAAUCUUCGGCAAUGGGCGCAAGCCUGACCGAGCAACGCCGCGUGAGUGAUGAAGGUUUUCGGAUUGUAAAGCUCUGUCUUCCGGGACGAUAAUGACGGUACCAGAGGAGGAAGCCACGGCUAACUACGUG